CAGAACCGUACAAAGGAUGCUGCUUCUGGAGAGGGCACGAACAGAGAUCACAUUCAGCGUGAUGAGAGGCGCUUAACUGAACUAGGUCGGCGAACUAUUGAAAUAUUUGUGCUUGCGCAUAUUUUCAGUAAAAUAGAGGUUGCAUAUAAGGAAGCUGUUGCAUUAAAGAGGCAAGAGGAACUCAUCCGUGAAGAGGCUGCUUGGCUGGCUGAAACUGAGAAGAAAGCUAAACGAGCAUCCGAGAAGGAAAAGAAGUCGAAGAAAAAACAGAAGCGGAAUAUCCGGAAAGCAAAGGAUAAGGAGAGAAAUGAAAAAUCUGAUGUUAUGGUGCAUGAUAAGAUUGAAGUUGAUGGUCCCAUUGGUGAAGGAAAUGAGUACAUGGCUGAGAUGCCAGGACAAGUACUUGGUAAAUCAGAUGU
rnacentral:misc_RNA from 1 species